rnacentral:rRNA from 1 species
AAAAGCGCCGGCUAACUACGUGCCAGCAGCCGCGGUAAUACGUAGGGCGCAAGCGUUAUCCGGAAUUAUUGGGCGUAAAGAGCUCGUAGGCGGUUUGUCGCGUCUGCUGUGAAAUCCGGAGGCUCAACCUCCGGCCUGCAGUGGGUACGGGCAGACUAGAGUGCGGUAGGGGAGAUUGGAAUUCCUGGUGUAGCGGUGGAAUGCGCAGAUAUCAGGAGGAACACCGAUGGCGAAGGCAGAUCUCUGGGCCGUAACUGACGCUGAGGAGCGAAAGGGUGGGGAGCAAACAGGCUUAGAUACCCUGGUAGUCCACCCCGUAAACGUUGGGAACUAGUUGUGGGGUCCAUUCCACGGAUUCCGUGACGCAGCUAACGCAUUAAGUUCCCCGCCUGGGGAGUACGGCCGCAAGGCUAAAACUCAAAGAAAUUGACGGAUCCUAC